AGUGAACGCUGGCGGUAGGCCUAACACAUGCAAGUCGAACGGCAGCACAGUAAGAGCUUGCUCUUACGGGUGGCGGGUGGCGGACGGGUGAGGACUACAUCGGAAUCUACUUUUUCGUGGGGGAUAACGUAGGGAAACUUACGCUAAUACCGCAUACGACCUACGGGUGAAAGCAGGGGAUCUUCGGACCUUGUGCGAUUGAAUGAGCUGAUGUCGGAUUAGCUGGUUGGCGGGGUAAAGGCCCACCAAGGCGACGAUCCGUAGCAGGGCCGAGAGGAUGAUCAGCCACACUAGAACUGAGACGCGGUCCAGACUCCUACGGGAGGCAGCAGUGGGGAAUAUUGGACAAUGGGCGCAAGCCUGAUCCAGCCAUACCGCGUGGGUGAAGAAGGCCUUCGGGUUGUAAAGCCCUUUUGUUGGGAAAGAAAAGCAGCAGGUUAAUACCCCGCUGUUCUGACGGUACCCAAAGAAUAAGCACCGGCUAACUUCGUG
rnacentral:rRNA from 1 species